UAGAGUGUUUGCCUAGUAUACAUAAAGCCCUGGGCUCCAUCCCCAGCACUACCAGGGAAAAAAGAUAAAAAAGAAAACCUCCAACAGACCAAGGGCUCAGUCAAAGCCAAGGUGCUUCAGGGCCUUAACAGGGUAAGUAACAGGGUGCUGAGGAAGGAAUGGGAGCAAGACUUGCACAGUUUUCUCACGGUCCCUAGAACCCAAUACAAGACUCCAAACAAAGCAAGCAGGGUGCAGGUAGAGGAGCUCCAGGGUCUAGUUCCCACCUUGAACGUUCAACACUUUUUAUCCCAUUUCCCUCCCUGUGAACCAGGCUGGCCUUGAACUCACGGAGAGCCACCUGCGGAGUGCUGGGAUUAAAGGCUGCCUUGGGGUGUUUUCCUUCCUGCUUGCUUGUCGUGGCUGCCAGCAUCCCUGAGCGCCACUUCUCUGGACCUUCUGACUGUGCCUGGUUCUCUUCUGAGGUAGAGGGAUGUCCGGAACUGGAUUGGUUACUGCCAACUCACUGCAGGCUGACUGAAUGUCUUCAUCACCACGAAAAGAAAUUGUAUAUAAAUUGGGCAGGCUGGCGCACAGCUGCAAUCCUGCCUCGUGGGAGGAAGAUACAGAAGAUACAGGAGGAUGUUUUGAGUUCAAGGCUUCGGGUGACUCCCGCAGGGGGACGAAUGCCCGUUCCAGACAUGCUCCCCGCCUCUGAGGCCAGCGGUCCAUCGCAGAAGCCCCCAGAGGUACUGGCCACAAAACCCAGGAAAUCGGCG